GUUGAUUCCCUUUCUUCGUCUCUCACCCAUUUCACUCCGUCAUCACCUCUCCCAUCGCCCUCGCCGCCACCACCGAAUCACCAACGCCGGCUACCGUAGCACCGAUGGUCGGAGAACCAUCCCGAAGGCCAAUCGCUAUCUUGAGGGGUCGCCCUUCUCUCCCUCACGGUUUCUCUUCUCCCAAUUCUAUUUCCCCGACGCCACAAUCCAGAUCGCACCGUCGUCGAUCAACCAACCGUCGACCGAGCCCCAUCUCCUCCACCGAUCACCCCAGAUCUAUCCAGCCGUAUCCUUUCUAAGUCAUCGCCUCUACACGGCUUGGCUCUUGGCCAAGAGGGGGGAACCCAAACCCUAGCUUGGAUCUCUCGUCACUGCACCUGCGAGCCACAACUCCGACCGCCAGAACACCUGGUUCCAGCCAACCCUUAUUGGAGACCCAACCGUUCCACUUCUGAUUCUCUCCAGCUAGGACUUGGCCACUGUUGGCUAGCUACAGCCACCAGAUCCCUACCUUCAGCUGCCAAUCUAAGCUUCAAGACCAGUGUUGGACCUUAGCCCUAGUUUGACAUGAAGUUUCCGGUCAAACUAUGUUGUUCCGGCGAUCUUACUAGCAGAUGAGGGUUGAUUGGAGGACACGGAUCCGAGAUGAGCACUUUAACGUGAGGAUAGUUUCAGUACGAACUACAAAUAAAAGCGGGUACUUCUUGCCUUGUUCAUUUAGUACUUUGACCUUAGUGCAUGAUCUAUAUUUAGAUAGUUGCUAUAUUUACCUUGAGUCCUUGACUCUAUUCGUUUUUAAUCCUUGAGCUUGAUCUUUUAUUUUUUGAUCUUGUAUGUUGAUCUAUUUUGAUAUCCAUGCAGUCUCAUUGUUAUCCAUGCUAUUUAUGACCAUAUAUGCUCAUACUAUUAUGCUAGCGAUAUUAUACCGUAGUAUAGCUGUAGAAUAUUGAACUAAGUUACCGGCUUGAUAUUUAUUCAUGCUUGUGUAUUUGUAAGAUCAUAUCGUAGUAUACGAUAUCGAGUAUCCUACUUGACCUUGUUUGUUAUUUAAACACUGGUCAGGUUAAAUUCCUCUAUCUGACAUUGUUAUACCCCCUCGACCAUUACUCUCAUUCUUGGUUGAGAGAAUCGUCAUCAAUUGUUAUUAUAUUUUAUCGACUAUUGUCUCCCACUCUUGGUUGAGAGAGUCAUUAGCGAUCGUUAGUAUGUCUUGUUGACUAUUGUCUCCCACUCGUGGUUGACAGAGUCGUCAGCGAUCAUGAUAUAUAUACGACUGCUCACGAGACCAUUCGUGGGAGUGAGUCCGCGUACAGUCCAUAGCUAGACAACUACAUAUAUACCCUGUCUACCCACGAGACCAUUCAUGGUAGCGAGUUUGCCCGCAGAUAGUGACUGUUUACUUACCCUGUUUGUCCAAGAGAUCAUUCAUGGUAGUGAAUUCGCCUGCAGACAAUGACUAUUUAUUUAUCUUGACUGUCCAUGGGACCAUUUGUGGUAGAGCGUUCUCCUGCUGUCAGUGCUUGUUAUAUAUAUUUGUUAUAUGUCAGUCAUGUAUUUGUUCGUGCAGGUUGGAAUGUACUGUAUGUGCUCCCAAUUUAUUGGUCACACCUAGUUGAGCAAGUUAAUGAAGGAUUAUUAUUGUUAGUUAUGCUUUAGUUAGCAGACGAUUAUAGUGACACACUUUUGUAGUAAGUAUUUUCCUGAGACUGUAUACCUUUGCUCUCCUUAUGUUAUUAUCAUACACUAUCUUCUAUUACUCGCGGAAUUCAUUUGGACUCACUACUUGUUGUAUUUUUUUUCUUCCUUCAUGUAGCAAGUAGAUGAUAUUUGUAUGGAGUUGCUUGGAGGAUCUUGCCUGCCAGUUCCACGUCGCAUCGAGAGUUUUGUUUUUGUUGUUGCUUUUACUCAUAUUUUGGUUUUUUAAACAUGUCCAUGUAAUAAUUAACUUGAGUGCAGAUUUUUAUCUUGUGUUGGUCUUUUGUUUGGUUUAACGGUUGUUGUGUCAGGCCGAGUCGGCUCGCAGUCUAUGUUGUUUUCACAUCUAGAGUGGAUCAAGUAGAUCCCUCUAUUGUCCAGGUUGGACACUUUUGGUUUUUUCCCCGCUGUGUGGCUAUCCAACCGUGUGUUGUAUA